GGUGCUGUAGACUAAUUGGUUAUGUCGGCUUCAUGGAACGGAGGACAUGUGGGUUCGAACCCCGCCAUCGCUU